rnacentral:rRNA from 1 species
UACGAAGGGGGCGAGCGUUUGUUCGGAUUUACUGGGCGUAAAGGGCGCGCAGGCGGCUCAUUUUGUCAGGCGUGAAAGCCCCGGGCUUAACCUGGGAACUGCGUUUGAUACGGAUGGGCUAGAGUUCGGGAGAGGAGAGUGGAAUUCCCAGUGUAGAGGUGAAAUUCGUAGAUAUUGGGAAGAACACCGGUGGCGAAGGCGGCUCUCUGGACCGAGACUGACGCUGAGGCGCGAAAGCGUGGGGAGCAAACAGG